rfam:Microbacterium sp. XT11, complete genome.
UUCGGCGGCCAUAGCGUGAGGGAAACGCCCGGUCACAUUCCGAACCCGGAAGCUAAGCCUCACAGCGCCGAUGGUACUGCAGGGGGGACCCUGUGGGAGAGUAGGACACCGCCGGAC